ACCGGGAGCGCGGCGUCUCCUGUAAUCCGGCGACGCGGAGGUCGGGAACGGAGGAUAGUUUGAGGUCGGAGAUCUGGCGCGUGGGCCCAUGUAGACUGGACGUCCGCACUGAGCACGGCACCGGCAUGGGCGGCCCGGGGGAGUCCGGACCGGCCAGGUUGACUAAGGAGGGGCGGACCGGGCCAGGGGGGAGACCCAGCAGCCAAGAGUCCCCGUGUCGGGCAGUAGUGGGAUAGCGGCCGGGAGUGGGUCACACAACGUCAGCCAGACCAACAUAACUAGACACCCUUCCUUU
rnacentral:SRP_RNA from 1 species